rnacentral:lncRNA from 1 species
AUACCCGUCCAGUGUACAGAAUAUCACAGGCUUUACUUUUGUGCCAAUUUAAAAUGAGGAUACAGAAAAUGAAGGCAAAGGGAAACUGUUGACAAUCCUUUGAAGUCAUAAAUAUACAAGAGCAUGAAUAAGAGAAGAAAAGAUGGAAGAUAAAAAGCAGAAGGGUGCUGGAGAUAUAAUGGUGAAUAAUGUUGCAAUAUGCUCAGUCUUCAUGGAAUCAACAGUCCAGUAGGGAAGGCAGAUAAGUGAGAAUAUUCCUUCUACUUACAGAAAAAGUCAACUGUAAAACAGCCUCAGGCAGGUCUUUCAGGAGAUAUUCCAGAAGGCAUUGUUAUCAUACAAGAUGAUAGCUCCAUGAGUAUUAUUUUCCCUGAAGACCAGUGAGACAAGAUGAGGAGAUUGAAGACAGUGAUAUGGAUGAUCCUGAACCUGAGACUGUAUAGGCCUAGGCUAAUGCAUGUGUUUGUGUCUUAGUUUUUAACUAAAAGCUUAAAAAGAAAGAAAAAUAAAAAUUAAACAUUUGAAAAUACAAAAAUCAUAUAGAAUUAAGGACAUAAGAAUAUUUUCGAACAGCUGUACAAUGUGUGUGUGUUUUAAGCUAAAUGUUAUUGCAAAAGAGCCAAAAGUUUUUUUUUAAAAAGUUUAUAAAAACUUUCAGUAAGCUAAGAUUAAUUUAUUAAUGAAGAAAUAAUCUUUGUAUAUAAAUUUAGUGUAGCCUAAGUGUACAGUGUUUAUAAAUCUACAGUAAUGUCCCAGACCUUCACAUUCACUCAUCACUCACUC